UUUGGUCACCCCUCCGGGGUGUCAAAAGGGAAGCCGGUGCAAGUCCGGCGCAGUCCCGCUGCUGUAAGCUCGAGAGUUGAGGCACAACCUGUUACGUCACUGUGCGGCGCCAUAGCCGUAUGGGAAGACCGCUGCCUCGCGAGCAAGCCAGAAGACCUGCCAAACCG
rnacentral:ncRNA from 1 species